UACGGGGGGAGCAAGCGUUGUUCGGAUUUACUGGGCGUAAAGCGCGCGUAGGCGGGUUGGUAAGUCCGCUGUGAAAGCCCGGAGCUUAACUCCGGAGGGUCGGUGGAUACUGCCAGUCUUGAAGGUGCUAGGGGGAGAUGGAAUUACCGGUGUAGCGGUGAAAUGCGUAGAUAUCGGUAGGAACACCAGUGGCGAAGGCGGUCUCCUGGGGCAUUCUUGACGCUGAGGCGCGAAAGCUGGGGGAGCAAACGGG
rnacentral:rRNA from 1 species